rnacentral:siRNA from 1 species
UCUUGAUAUAAGGUUUCCGGG